AAACCAACAGGGAUUGCCCCAGUAACGGCGAGUGAAGCGGCAACAGCUCAAAUUUGAAAUCUGGCCCCCCCCUGGGGGGUCCGAGUUGUAAUUUGGAGAGGAUGCUUCUGGCGAGGCGCCGUCCGAGUUCCUUGGAACAGGACGCCACAGAGGGUGAGAGCCCCGUAAGGUCGGCCGCCAAGCCUGUGCGAAGCUCCUUCGACGAGUCGAGUAGUUUGGGAAUGCUGCUCUAAAUGGGAGGUAAAUUCCUUCUAAAGCUAAAUACUGGCCAGAGACCGAUAGCGCACAAGUAGAGUGAUCGAAAGAUGAAAAGCACCUUGAAAAGAGGGUUAAACAGUACGUGAAAUUGUUGAAAGGGAAGCGCCUGUGACCAGACUCGCGCCCCGUGGACCAGCCGGCGUUCUCGCCGGUGCACUCCGCGGGGCGUGGGCCAGCAUCGGUUCCCACGGGGGGAUAAAGGCCGCGGGAACGUAGCUCCCUAGGGAGUGUUAUAGCCCGCGGUGCCAUGCCCCCGGGGGGACCGAGG
rnacentral:rRNA from 1 species